AUAUGCAAGAUUCCAGAAUCGGCAAUCCAGACAAAUUUGAUUAAAGGGAAAGCUUUUGAGGCUUUCGUAGGGUUUCGCCGGUGCCGUCGCGAAUUCGAUCGGCGCUCCUCCCUUCCGCUGCCGUUUCGUUCGCCAAGUUUCGAUCUUCUCGUUGUUGAUCCAGAUGGCUGGUAGAGGACCACUUGUUCGCAGACCUUUUCCCCAGCCUCUUCACCCUGCGGCACUCGAAGAGGAGCUUGAAUUGCAGAGGAUGGACAUAAGGAGACUUAUAGCGGAUAACCGUGGGCUAGCUGAGGAUCGUUCAGCUUUUCACAGGGAGUUGGCUGCUGCCAGGGAGGAACUCAACCGGAUGAACUUGGUGAUUGCAGAUAUCCAAGCUGAGAAAGAAGCUCACGCAAGGGAUAUGAUUGAAAAAGGAUUAAAGCUAGAAGCUGAUAUGAGAGCUGCUGAACCUCUUAGAGAAGAGGUCAUAGAACUACGUGCAGAAAUUAAGAAGCUAACUGCCAUUAGACAAGAGCUCAAUGAUCAGGUUCGUUCUCUUUCACAUGAUCUGACAAGGACUCAAUCUGAUAAUCAACAGAUCCCAGCCAUGAAGGCGGAAAUUGACAGGCUUCAUCAGGAACUUAUGCAUCUUCGGAUGUCUAUUGAGUACGAUAAGAAAUCAAACUUUGAAUUGAUGGAGCAAAGGCAAUCAAUGGAGAAAAAUUUGGUUUCCAUGGCGCGUGAGAUUGAAAAAUUGCGUGCUGACUUGGCUAGUACUGAGGGGAGGCCACAGGCUGCAAGCGAAAGUUAUGGGACUACACUUGGCAGCUCUGACAGACCCUACUCUUCAACGUUUGGAUAUGACUAUGGCAAUAAGCUGCCUGUUACUGACAAGCCUAAUCUCUAUCUUGCUGGAUCUGGAUCUGGAUCUGGAUCAUGGGGAGCAAUCAGCAAGACUCACCUUGCUCGUCGUUGAGAAUCUAGUUCACUUGGGCCUUAAAUAGGGCCUAUGCUAUUUCUAUUCCUGAUGCUUGCACACUAGAGGGAUAGAUGGUUUUCUAGCUUCGCAAUUGGUGCAUGCUCCACCAGAUUCACUUAGUAGAAUGCUUUUCAGAAGCUAGAUAACAUCAAGUGAGGCAACUUCUUAUUCGAAUGUUGCUAUUCAAGGAAGAUCCUGAUUGUUGGUGAAUCUGCAACUGCUUUUGCUCUGAGAGUUUAUACUUAAUGCCAUCCAGGAGAAACAACAUCGCCGAGAAGCUUCUGUUUCGCCGUGACGUUUAUUUGAAUAUCAUCAAUGAUAGCGUAAAUGAGGAUCUGGUUCUGUUUCUUCCGUGAUUAUCAUACUGCCACUUCUUGAUUCAAAGCCUGCUCUCGAUUUACUGCAAUGCUACAUUCAUGAUUUUGGUGAGCUCUAUAUCGUCGCAACCAGCUACUGCAUAUAAAUGUAAAAACAUCGCAUAGGGGAUUCCCUAACCCUCGACUCCUCACUGGAGCAGUACUGCCACUGAGACAGCACCGUGCUGUUCUCGAACCGCAAAGCGAGCCAAAACAAUGCCACAGAUGAGCGUGCCCCUGAGAACAUAUGUAUAUCGAGCACCUAUGGUUCUUGCUUGAAGUAUCCACGGGCGUAACUAAAGUGGUGAGUGGAUGGUUGUUUACUACAUCAAGUCUUAAGGUCGAAUUUCGGGACUAGUGGGGUGUAAAUCCAUAUAUCCUGUGUAACUCUCCCCUCCCAUUCCACUUACCUUCUCAGUCACAAAUGAUUUAGGAUGGGAGUGUUAAGGGUAAACGAUUUACUUUUUGCCACAUUUGUCACCUGAAGCAUCAUAAAAUUGACUGUGUGAUGAAGUAACGGCCCGAUAUCUCCUAAAA